UCCCCGUUAUCCGGGGCGGUUUCACUAGAGUGCCCGGCUUGACCCGCUGGCAACUAGGGACAAGGGUUGCGCUCGUUGCGGGACUUAACCCAACAUCUCACGACACGAGCUGACGACAGCCAUGCAGCACCUGUGUUCCGAUUCCCUUUCGGACACCCCCACCUCUCAGCAGGGUUCCGGACAUGUCAAGGGUAGGUAAGGUUGUUCGCGUUGCAUCGAAUUAAUCCACAUCAUCCACCGCUUGUGCGGGUCCCCGUCAAUUCCUUUGAGUUUUAAUCUUGCGACCGUACUCCCCAGGCGGGAUGCUUAAUACGUUAGCUGCGCCACUGACGGGUAAACCCGCCAACGGCUAGCAUCCAUCGUUUACGGCGUGGACUAC
rnacentral:misc_RNA from 1 species